rnacentral:rRNA from 1 species
ACACAUGCAAGUCGAGGGGCAGCAUGAACUUAGCUUGCUAAGUUUGAUGGCGACCGGCGCACGGGUGAGUAACACGUAUCCAACCUGCCGAUGACUCGGGGAUAGCCUUUCGAAAGAAAGAUUAAUACCCGAUGGCAUAGUUCUUCCGCAUGGUGGAACUAUUAAAGAAUUUCGGUCAUCGAUGGGGAUGCGUUCCAUUAGGUUGUUGGCGGGGUAACGGCCCACCAAGCCUUCGAUGGAUAGGGGUUCUGAGAGGAAGGUCCCCCACAUUGGAACUGAGACACGGUCCAAACUCCUACGGGAGGCAGCAGUGAGGAAUAUUGGUCAAUGGACGAGAGUCUGAACCAGCCAAGUAGCGUGAAGGAUGACUGCCCUAUGGGUUGUAAACUUCUUUUAUACGGGAAUAAAGUGAGGCACGUGUGCCUUUUUGUAUGUACCGUAUGAAUAAGGAUCGGCUAACUCCGUGCCAGCAGCCGCGGUAAUACGGAGGAUCCGAGCGUUAUCCGGAUUUAUUGGGUUUAAAGGGAGCGUAGGCGGACGCUUAAGUCAGUUGUGAAAGUUUGCGGCUCAACCGUAAAAUUGCAGUUGAUACUGGGUGUCUUGAGUACAGUAGAGGCAGGCGGAAUUCGUGGUGUAGCGGUGAAAUGCUUA